AUGUUCUUCUGUGGGAUGCGUGCAUUUGUGUUUAUUAAUCGCUAGAAAUCCAAAAUGCACAUAGUGUUGCUUUAACAGUCUUAAAUGUAACGAAUCUUCUCCAGAUAAUUAUUUGAUACAGUCGAAAUAAAUUGCUGACAGAGAGACGGUGGCAUUUAUAUCUCGGCGUGGAUGAGAAGAGAACCGCAGCUGAGACACAUGUGAACUGUGAACUUACCCUAUGGUUAAAGGUGUGUGUGGAGAUCUGUGUGGGUCAGAUGAGCAUCAGGUUUCCUAUGACCAUGACCAGCAUGAAGACCAGAAUGCAAAGCGGCUGUCCGGCCACCUCCAUACAGUCCCACAUGGUCUCAAUCCACUCUCCGCACAAGACCCUGAACACGAUGAGGAACGAGUGGAAGAAAUCCUUCAUGUGCCAGCGAGGAAGCGUGCAGUCGUAGCUGAUCUUACACACACAGUCCUGAUAGUUCUUUCCAAACAGCUGCAUGCCCACCACAGCGAAGAUGAAGACGAUGAUGGCCAAGACCAGAGUCAGAGUUGAAGUUUACCAGUCUGAACGAGCGGAGGACAGAUAGACCCUCCACGUUGGAAAGGCCCAACUCCAUCAGACUCAAACAAACAAUAAUUCCAUCAAAGAUGUUCCAGCCUUGCUGAAAGUAAUAGUAUGGAUCCAGAGCGAAGAUCUUCAGCACCAUCUCUGCCGUGAAGAUUCCAGUGAACACCUGGUUUCCAACACUCAGCAUGCUGUUGAAUUCAUCAGUCAUGGGGUAGUGCUCUAGCGCCAUGAACAAUGUGUUCAGAACAAUGCAAAUGGUGAUUGCAAGAUCCAGGAAAGGGUCCAUCACCAUGACUUUAAGCCCUUCCUUCACUCUCAGCCAGGCAGGAGAACAUGUCCAAAUCAGGUACUUCUUCGCAAAUUCAUACCAGCAUGGAGGACAUUUCUGAUUGGCCUCUUCUAGUUCUAAGAGGAGAAAUUAAAAUCAUUAAAUGAGUAACUGAAAAGAAACAUGGACAUUAAGGUAAGAUGAUGUUUGAUACUUCGAGUGUUUUAGAUAAACUGAUUUUAAAUUUGAAACAUCCUUUUGUAGCUAAAUUAUUUCUCC